UACAGAGGUCCCAAGCGUUGUUCGGAUUCACUGGGCGUAAAGGGUGCGUAGGUGGCCAGGUAAGUUCGGUGUGAAAGCUCGGAGCUUAACUCCGAAAUGGCAUUGAAUACUAUCUGGCUAGAGGGUCGGAGGGGAGACUGGAAUUCGUCGGUGUAGCAGUGAAAUGCGUAGAUAUCGAGAGGAACACCAGUGGCGAAGGCGAGUCUCUGGACGACUCCUGGACACUGAGGCACGAAAGCCAGGGGAGCAAACCAGG
rnacentral:rRNA from 1 species